UCCCAAGCCAAAGCAAAGGACUGUUUUUA
rnacentral:piRNA from 1 species